UACGUAGGGGGCAAGCGUUGUCCGGAUUUAUUGGGCGUAAAGAGCGUGUAGGCGGCCGUACAGGUCAGCUGUGAAAACUCGAGGCUCAACCUCGAGACGUCGGUUGAAACCGUACGGCUAGAGUCCGGAAGAGGAGAGUGGAAUUCCCGGUGUAGCGGUGAAAUGCGCAGAUAUCAGGAGGAACACCAAUUGCGAAGGCAGCUCGCUGGGACGUUACUGACGCUGAGACGCGAAAGCGUGGGGAGCAAACAGG
rnacentral:rRNA from 1 species